GGGAAGCAUUUAUAGUACAAGUAUAAUGAUUAAAAUGCUUUUACAUUUUUUGCUUAAGUUUUGCUGUCAUGUAAACAGUUCAUUUAAAAUGGUGUGACGUGUUAGGAAGAUUUUUAUAUCUAGGGAAUCUAUAUAAAUAUUCCAAAAAGGCAGCAGAGAGAAUGAGCAACAAACUAUUCAAUGAAGAAGAAGCUAUUUAGUACAUCUUUAGUUUACUGAGGAUUGGCUGACAGAGUGAUAUUUGGGCAAGAUCUGAGAUGCAUAUUGAACUGGGGAUGGACUAAACCAAAAUUGCAGAUCUGAACACCAGCAAAACUUUGGAUCCAGCACCACACUUGGUUACGUCCUUUCUUGUGUCAAUAUUGUCUUACAUCUCUUUUCAAACCUGAUAAACUAGCAGGACACGACAGCGCAGAAGAAAAGGAUAUGUAGUGAUAGCAGCAGUGAAGUAAAAAGAAAUGUUAAAUACUGUUGUUUUGCUGGGCUCUACAGUUUAUUGUUAAAGCUCAGUAAAGUUAACAAAAAGAGUUUCCUAUGAGCAUCUAAGUGUUCAGACUGGGGUGGGCUGCCUGUGCCGUUUUCAGAUUGGUCAUUCUGUUCAACAUGCGUGAUUAGCACUGUACAUGGAACAGCUGCUGACU